AAUAAACGUUGGCGGCGUGCUUAACACAUGCAAGUCGAGCGAGAAAGGCCUUCGGGCUGAGUAGAGCGGCAGACGGGUGAGUAACACGUGGGAAUUUGCCUUUUAGUGGAGAAUACCCCCGAGAAAUUGGGGUUAAUACUGCAUAAGUCUCGAAAGAGAGAAAGAUGGCCUCUUGCUGUCGCUAGAAGAUAAGCCCGCGGACUAUUAGCUUGUUGGUGGGGUAAUGGCCUACCAAGGCGAUGAUGGUUAGCCGGCCUGAGAGGGUGUACGGCCACACUGGAACUUAGACACGGUCCAGACUCCUACGGGAGGCAGCAGUGAGGAAUAUUGCGCAAUGGGCGAAAGCCUGACACAGCGACGCCGCGUGGAGGAUGAAGGUCUUCGGGAUCGUAAACUUCUGUUAAGUGGGAAGAAAGGCAAAGCUCUAAAUACAGCUUUGAAAUGACGGUACCACUAGAGAAAGCACCGGCU
rnacentral:rRNA from 1 species